rnacentral:rRNA from 1 species
ACGCGUGGGUAACCUACCCUGUACACACGGAUAACAUACCGAAAGGUAUGCUAAUACGGGAUAAUAUAUUUGAGAGGCAUCUCUUAAAUAUCAAAGGUGAGCUAGUACAGGAUGGACCCGCGUCUGAUUAGCUAGUUGGUAAGGUAACGGCUUACCAAGGCGACGAUCAGUAGCCGACCUGAGAGGGUGAUCGGCCACAUUGGAA